rnacentral:rRNA from 1 species
AUACAGAGGCCCAUAGCGUUGUUCGGAUUUACUGGGCGUAAAGGGCGCGUAGGCGGCAGGGCGUGUCAAGUGUGAAAUCUCCGGGCCCAACCCGGAAAGUGCGCUUGAAACUACCUUGCUCGAGGCCGGGAGAGGGAAUCGGAAUAUAGGGUGUAGCGGUGAAAUGCGUUGAUAUCCUAUAGAACACCGGAGGCGAAGGCGGAUUCCUGGAACGGUACUGACGCUGAGGCGCGAAAGUCGGGGGAGCAAACAGGAUUAGAUACCCUGGUAGUCCCGACCUUAAACGGUGCGCACUCGAGGUGGGGGGAUUUCACCCCUCCCGUCUCUUAGCUAACGCGAUAAGUGCGCCGCCUGGGGAGUACGGCCGCAAGGCUAAAACUCAAAUGAAUUGACGGGG